GUUAGGGGUGAAAUGCCAAUCGAACCGGGAGCUAGCUGGUUCUCCCCGAAAUGUGUUGAGGCGCAGCGGUAAUUGUUCCACUCUGGAGGUAAAGCACUGAUUCGGUGCGGGCUGGGAGACCGGUACCAAAUCGAGUCAAACUCAGAAUGCCAGAGGUAUAGAUUGCCAGUGAGACGGUGGGGGAUAAGCUUCAUCGUCAAGAGGGAAACAGCCCAGACCAUCAACUAAGGCCCCUAAGCGUGUGCUAACUGGGAAAGGAUGUGGAGUUGCACAGACAACCAGGAGGUUGGCUUAGAGGCAGCCACCCUUGAAAGAGUGCGUAACAGCUCACUGGUCAAGUGUUCGGGCGCGGAUAAUGUAACGGGGCUCAAGCUAACCACCGAAGCUACGGGUGCAUCGCAAGAUGCGCGGUAGGAGAGCGUUCCCAUGGCAGUGAAGCGGCGGGGGAACCCAGCCGUGGAGCCCUGGGAAGUGAGAAUGUCGGCAUGAGUAACGAA
rnacentral:rRNA from 1 species